CCUACGGGAGGCAGCAGUGAGGAAUAUUGGUCAAUGGGCGAGAGCCUGAACCAGCCAAGUCGCGUGAGGGAGUACUGCCCUAUGGGUUGUAAACCUCUUUUGUCGGGGAGCAAAAGCCGGACGUGUCCGGCUGUGAGAGUACCCGAAGAAAAAGCAUCGGCUAACUCCGUGCCAGCAGCCGCGGUAAUACGGAGGAUGCGAGCGUUAUCCGGAUUUAUUGGGUUUAAAGGGUGCGCAGGCGGAUUUUUAAGUCAGCGGUAAAAUCGUGGGGCUCAACCCCAUCCAGCCGUUGAAACUGGGGAUCUAGAGUGUGCGAGAGGUAUGCGGAAUGCGUGGUGUAGCGGUGAAAUGCAUAGAUAUCACGCAGAACCCCGAUUGCGAAGGCAGCAUACCGGUGCACAACUGACGCUCAGGCACGAAAGCGUGGGUAUCGAACAGGAUUAGAUACCCGUUAGUC
rnacentral:rRNA from 1 species